rnacentral:rRNA from 1 species
GACGAACGCUGGCGGCGUGCUUAACACAUGCAAGUCGAAUGGAAAGGCCCUGCUUUUGUGGGGUGCUCGAGUGGCGAACGGGUGAGUAACACGUGAGUAACCUGCCCUUGAUUUUGGGAUAACUUCAGGAAACUGGGGCUAAUACCGGAUAGGAGCUCCUGCUGCAUGGUGGGGGUUGGAAAGUUUCGGCGGUUGGGGAUGGACUCGCGGCUUAUCAGCUUGUUGGUGGGGUAGUGGCUUACCAAGGCUUUGACGGGUAGCCGGCCUGAGAGGGUGACCGGCCACAUUGGGACUGAGAUACGGCCCAGACUCCUACGGGAGGCAGCAGUGGGGAAUAUUGCACAAUGGGCGGAAGCCUGAUGCAGCAACGCCGCGUGCGGGAUGACGGCCUUCGGGUUGUAAACCGCUUUCGCCUGUGACGAAGCGUGAGUGACGGUAAUGGGUAAAGAAGCACCGGCUAACUACGUG